GGAUUUUAGAAAAUAUAAUUUUAAAGGACAAAUUAUACCUAUUUUUCUCAAUAACACAUGGCUACAGUGAAAGACUUCCAUUUAUUGACGGAGUCUUGCCCUGUCACUCAGGCUGGAGUGCAGUGGCACAAUCUCUGCUCACUGCCAGCCUCUGCCUCCCGGGUUCCAGUGGUUCUUCUGCCUCAGCCUCCUGGACAGCUGGGAUUAAAGGUACCCGCCACCAAACCUCAGCCUCCUGGACAGCUGGGAUUACAGAUCACUUUUUGGCCUUUGGCUGAGAUCAAGAGCACUACCUGAAGAUGAAAGAUGAAAGGAGCUGAUUUGCAGAUUCUCUCCCUAUACAUUUUUGUUGUAUUGAAUUUCAGUUUCAUUUUAUUCUCUUAUCUUUCAUGGAAUGUUACAAUUACCUAAAUUAUAGACUAAUAUAGAAGCUUUUGAGCAAAAGGGUGUAUGUGCUGUGAAGGUCAACAUUUUAAACGAUCCUAAAACAUAAUUGUUUUAGAACGGGCACUUGUCUGGGUCCCACUGAAUGACUCAUUUCACGGCAUCACAUUCAAAAUGGAUUCUAUCAAAGGAAAACCAACUCAUUCUCAAGAUGAAAUUCAUCCUUUGCAUAUUAUGUAUCAAUGAUAUCACUCUUCCAGUGCCAGUUGUGGAAAAAUAGGUUUCAACAUAGAGUGGCUUGUA
rnacentral:lncRNA from 1 species